GCUGUUUCUUAACUGUGGCUUCUCAUUGACUUAGGCUCAGGAGGAUGAAGUGUCAGCAUCUCUCCCCUCCACCGUGCCCUGUCUUCCUCCCCCUUCACCUCUCCCCUCCUCCUAAUAGACUCAAGUUCUAAUUGCCCUGGGGUCAAGAUGCCAGGGGGAUGUCUGAUUACAUUAUUAAGGCAAUGGAAAGGAAUGCACAGCUGACUCAGGUAGUAUUUUGUGAUUACUUUUUAUUUUCCUCCUAGUCGUCACUGUCUUAUUUUGUUGCUAUUGUUGUGUCAGGUGGCCAGGGCCGGCCAAGCAGCUUAGCGUGCAGGGCUUAGCUCUGUGGCCUGCGAGCUGAGCCGCGUGCGGGGGCGGGAGAGGAGCCCGGGCGCAGCCCCCAGGACCGGCGGGGGGGUAGGUUGGAAAGGCUGCCCGGUCAGAGGGCCUUAUGACCCGGCUUACUGCGUGUGCCCUGGUGUGUCUGCCCUACAAAAGGCGUGCCAGGUGGGGCGAGCCUCACGGGGAACCUGCGUGUGUUCCGGGGCCACCAGGGCCUCAGGGAAGCUACGCAGUGACAUCGCCGGGACAACCCUGCAGGGAGCGCAGGCUCCGGACCUGGACAGUCUGAUCCUGGAAGCAGGCCAGUUCUGCAGGCCGCGCUGGUCCUGGAGCCAAGCUGGUUCUAGAAGGUGUUUGCGGAAGACGAUUCUACAAGCAGGUUGCCGGGGCUGUGACCCCCUGGCCCAGACAGCGCCCAGCCGCCUGCAGAGCCGCAGGGCUCGGGUCCACCAGCAGAUCACCAAGGAGCUACGGAUGCGAACAGGUGCCGAGAACCUCUACAGGUGAGUGCCGGCGGCCAUCCCCAUCCCUCAGGAGGGUGGCGGCGCUGCUCCCUGAGGCCCUCUGCAAACCAGCCUGUGCUGAACACAAGGCAGUGACCCAGCUGGGUGCCCGCUCCUGUGGUCUGGUUUGGGAGAUGGACACGUGAGCAGGUGACUGUGGCCACUGCAGGCUCAGGAGGCGAGGCUGGGCCUUCCCCUGGAGUCUGGGGCAGCCAUAUCGCACAACUGAAACCCUCACAGACCACCUGGGCUCCUGCCUUGGUGGGCCUCACUGGCGAGGGUCAGCCCAGGGUCAGCCAAGUGCCACGUGGGGCUGGAGGGAGCUGGGGUGUGGUGUGGGAGCCCCUGAUUUGUGCGUGGAGACAGCAGGGGUUUCUCGGCAGAGGCACUGUUUAGGCUGAGCUGUGACACGUGCCCCAAGAUUGUGGCCCCGGGAAAGUGUCCUCCAGGCCGAAGGGGUGCGUCCCCCUUGGAACAGUGAGCUGCACGUCUGCUCAGACCUUCACCCGUGUCUCUAGGAGCCCACUCUAUGGGCGAUGGCCCAGGGACGUGGUCCAACCUGUAGAGCCACAGCCGGUGUGUGCAGGGCCGGCCGACAGGUUCUGGGGUCUGCUGGGUGCAAGGGGACCUCCAACCCUUCGCCACCCUGGCAGCCCGUCCCUGCUGUCAGCCUGGCCUUCCGGGGACUCCCCGCCCCUUCUGUCAGGUGCUCCAAUGUAGGCACAGAGAGGGUCUGACCCCAGCCUUCCAGGAAGGUUGGUUUUGUGUCGCUGUGGAGGGUGCACCGGGACCUGCCUCCGGGGGAGAGGUGGUGGGAGGCGAGAGCCUGUGCCCUGGGCGGCCUGGGUGUGAGCUGAUGUGCCCGGGCCAGAGGCGCCAUGUGUACGUGUGCACGGGAGUCCCCCGAACUGCAGGGGGACUCAGGAGAAGAGGGAGGUCAUGGGGGCGGGGGGGGGGGGGCGCUGGGG
ensembl:lncRNA